UGGGGAAUUGUUCACAAUGGGCGCAAGCCUGAUGACGCAACGCCGCGUGGGGGAUGAAGGUCUUCGGAUCGUAAACCCCUGUCGAAUGGGACGAAUAGCUCGCGAAUUAAUACCUCGUGGGAAUGACGGUACCGUUAAAGGAAGCCACGGCUAACUCUGUGCCAGCAGCCGCGGUAAUACAGAGGUGGCAAGCGUUGUUCGGAAUUACUGGGCGUAAAGGGCGCGUAGGCGGCCAUCUAAGUCAGACGUG
rnacentral:rRNA from 1 species